GUUAUAUUAAGACUAGCUACUAUACUCUCAGCUAAAUCAAUAAACAGAUUCUUAACAUUAUGGGGAACUUUAUCCUCAACACUCAUCUCCUCAUAAAAGGAAUGGAAAACCUGAUGAGUUUGAGCAGUUGUUGUCUCGGUUUCAAGGCCUACGUAUAUUAUGGCUCCUGGAUCUGCUUCUGUACCAUGUAUCUGAAACCCAAAAAGACUCCCAAACUUAUCAAUAAAUUGCUG